rnacentral:rRNA from 1 species
GUGGGGAAUUUUGCGCAAUGGGGGAAACCCUGACGCAGCAACACCGCGUGAGUGAUGAAGGCCUUCGGGUCGUAAAGCUCUGUCAGAGGGGAAGAAAUGCAGGGGUGCUAAUAUCAUCUUUGCUUGACGGUACCCUCAAAGGAAGCACCGGCUAACUCCGUGCGAGCAGCCGCGGUAAUACGGAGGGUGCGAGCGUUGUUCGGACUUAGUGGGCGUAAAGCGCGUGUAGGCGGUUUGGUAAGUGUGAUGUGAAAGCCCCGGGCUCAACCUGGGAAGUGCACUGGAAACUGUCAGACUUGAAUACGGGAGAGGGUAGUGGAAUUCCUAGUGUAGGAGUGAAAUCCGUAGAUAUUAGGAGGAACACCGGUGGCGAAGGCGGCUACCUGGACCGAUAUUGACGCUGAGACGCUAAAGCGUGGGGAGCAAACAGGAUUAGAAACCCCGGUAGUCC